rnacentral:tRNA from 1 species
GGCCUCGUAGCUCAGUUGGCUAGAGCUCUGGCUUUAGUAAAGGCUUUCCCGUGCUUGUGUGGGUUCGAAUCCCACCGAGGACG